rfam:Schistosoma curassoni strain Dakar, Senegal genome assembly, scaffold: SCTD_scaffold0008028
GCACUGCUUACGAGUCCCACAAUAGGACGAAAUGGCUGUCCAGUGC